AGAGUUUGAUCAUGGCUCAGAUUGAACGCUGGCGGCAGGCCUAACACAUGCAAGUCGAGCGGUAGCACAGAGAGCUUGCUCUCGGGUGACGAGCGGCGGACGGGUGAGUAAUGUCUGGGAAACUGCCUGAUGGAGGGGGAUAACUACUGGAAACGGUAGCUAAUACCGCAUAAUGUCGCAAGACCAAAGUGGGGGACCUUCGGGCCUCAUGCCAUCAGAUGUGCCCAGAUGGGAUUAGCUAGUAGGUGGGGUAACGGCUCACCCAGGCGACGAUCCCUAGCUGGUCUGAGAGGAUGACCAGCCACACUGGAACUGAGACACGGUCCAGACUCCUACGGGAGGCAGCAGUGGGGAAUAUUGCACAAUGGGCGCAAGCCUGAUGCAGCCAUGCCGCGUGUGUGAAGAAGGCCUUCGGGUUGUAAAGCACUUUCAGCGGGGAGGAAGGCGAUAAGGUUAAUAACCUUGUCGAUUGACGUUACCCGCAGAAGAAGCACCGGCUAACUCCGUGCCAGCAGCCGCGGUAAUACGGAGGGUGCAAGCGUUAAUCGGAAUUACUGGGCGUAAAGCGCACGCAGGCGGUCUGUCAAGUCGGAUGUGAAAUCCCCGGGCUCAACCUGGGAACUGCAUUCGAAACUGGCAGGCUAGAGUCUUGUAGAGGGGGGUAGAAUUCCAGGUGUAGCGGUGAAAUGCGUAGAGAUCUGGAGGAAUACCGGUGGCGAAGGCGGCCCCCUGGACAAAGACUGACGCUCAGGUGCGAAAGCGUGGGGAGCAAACAGGAUUAGAUACCCUGGUAGUCCACGCCGUAAACGAUGUCGAUUUGGAGGUUGUGCCCUUGAGGCGUGGCUUCCGGAGCUAACGCGUUAAAUCGACCGCCUGGGGAGUACGGCCGCAAGGUUAAAACUCAAAUGAAUUGACGGGGGCCCGCACAAGCGGUGGAGCAUGUGGUUUAAUUCGAUGCAACGCGAAGAACCUUACCUGGUCUUGACAUCCACAGAACUUUCCAGAGAUGGAUUGGUGCCUUCGGGAACUGUGAGACAGGUGCUGCAUGGCUGUCGUCAGCUCGUGUUGUGAAAUGUUGGGUUAAGUCCCGCAACGAGCGCAACCCUUAUCCUUUGUUGCCAGCGGUUAGGCCGGGAACUCAAAGGAGACUGCCAGUGAUAAACUGGAGGAAGGUGGGGAUGACGUCAAGUCAUCAUGGCCCUUACGACCAGGGCUACACACGUGCUACAAUGGCAUAUACAAAGAGAAGCGACCUCGCGAGAGCAAGCGGACCUCAUAAAGUAUGUCGUAGUCCGGAUUGGAGUCUGCAACUCGACUCCAUGAAGUCGGAAUCGCUAGUAAUCGUAGAUCAGAAUGCUACGGUGAAUACGUUCCCGGGCCUUGUACACACCGCCCGUCACACCAUGGGAGUGGGUUGCAAAAGAAGUAGGUAGCUUAACCUUCGGGAGGGCGCUUACCACUUUGUGAUUCAUGACUGGGGUGAAGUCGUAACAAGGUAACCGUAGGGGAACCUGCGGUUG
rnacentral:rRNA from 1 species